rnacentral:tRNA from 1 species
GUUGUGGCUCAGUGGUAGAGUGCUCACCUUGCAUGAUUGAGGCGCUGAGUUCGAUCCCGCCACAACA